rnacentral:hammerhead_ribozyme from 1 species
GUAGAUGAGGAGUCCCAAAUAGGACGAAAUGCGCAUCCUGUAU